rnacentral:rRNA from 1 species
GGGGUGCUCGAGUGGCGAACGGGUGAGUAACACGUGAGUAACCUGCCCUUGACUUUGGGAUAACUUCAGGAAACUGGGGCUAAUACCGGAUAGGAGCUCCUGCUGCAUGGUGGGGGUUGGAAAGUUUCGGCGGUUGGGGAUGGACUCGCGGCUUAUCAGCUUGUUGGUGGGGUAGUGGCUUACCAAGGCUUUGACGGGUAGCCGGCCUGAGAGGGCGACCGGCCACAUUGGGACUGAGAUACGGCCCAG